AAGCUACCAUACAAUGCCUUCAAAGAUUUCAAGAAAGCAGAAGAAGGCAUAGAUUACUUUUUACAAGACUUGGAGCGUCAGUGCCUACUCCAAGUAGCUGUCGACAUUAUAGUUGUGCAGGCACUUUGGUGACUCUAGAGAACCUCGGGCCAAUCUCACAUCCCCGUGACGGCGACGACGCAUUUGGAUGUCUGCCCUAUCAACUUUUGAUGGACUUUCUGCGCCUACCAUGGUGACCACGAGUAAUGGGGAAUGAGGGUUCGAUUCCGGAAAGGAAGUCUGAGAAAUGGCUACAUCCAAGGAAGGCAGUAGGCGCGCAAAAUUCCCACUCCCGACACGGUGAGGUAGUGA
rnacentral:rRNA from 1 species